UCUCCGUUGGUGAACCAGCGGAGGGAUCAUUACAGAGUUGUAAAACUCCCAAACCCAUGUGAACAUACCUGUUGCCUCGGUGGCCUACCCGGUAGCUACCCUGUAGCUACCCUGUAGUCCGCCGACGGAACUUAAAACUCUAGCUGUUUUUGUACCAUCUGAGUCUUCCACAAAUAAACAAAACUUUCAACAACGGAUCUCUUGGUUCUG
rnacentral:misc_RNA from 1 species